GGUCAAUCGUAGGAUUGAUGAGGCUUUGCCUGCUAUCUCUUACCCAUGUCUUUUAGAGUACUUACGUUUCCUCGGCGGGUCCGCCCGCCGAUUGGACAAAAUUAAACCCUUUGCAGUUGCAAUCAGCGUCUGAAAAACAUAAUAGUUACAACUUUCAACAACGGAUCUCUUGGUUCUGGCAUCGAUGAAGAACGCAGCGAAAUGCGAUAAGUAGUGUGAAUUGCAGAAUUCAGUGAAUCAUCGAAUCUUUGAACGCACAUUGCGCCCCUUGGUAUUCCAUGGGGCAUGCCUGUUCGAGCGUCAUUUGUACCUUCAAGCUCUGCUUGGUGUUGGGUGUUUGUCUCGCCUUUGCGUGUAGACUCGCCUCAAAACAAUUGGCAGCCGGCGUAUUGAUUUCGGAGCGCAGUACAUCUCGCGCUUUGCACUCAUAACGACGACGUCCAAAAAGUACAUUUUUACACUCUUGACCUCGGAUCAGGUAGGGAUACCCGCUGAACUUAAGCAUAUCAAUAAGCGGAGGAGAAUCAUUAC
rnacentral:rRNA from 1 species